UACAGAGGGUGCAAGCAUUAAUCGGAUUUAUUGGGCGUAAAGGGCGCGUAGGCGGGGAUGAAAGUCAGAUGUGAAAUCCCAGGGCUCAACCUCGGAACAGCAUAUGAAACUCCAUUUCUAGAGGAUAGGCGGAGAAAACGGAAUUCCACAAGUAGCGGUGAAAUGCGUAGAUAUGUGGAAGAACACCGGUGGCGAAGGCGGUUUUCUAGCUUAUACCUGACGCUGAGGCGCGAAAGCAAGGGGAUCAAACAGG
rnacentral:rRNA from 1 species